AGCGAUGCUAUUAUCGUAGAGCCUCAAGUGCCCGUCAGAAUCGAACCUCAUGUACUGAGCCAGGUUCGCCGGGGGUAGCGAGAUCGACGUGUUGGGCACGCCUGGUUGUGUGAAGGGAACAAAGACCGACAGGCUACCGUUGGUGAAGGUGACGGACGCCGACUUGUUCACGGCUUUCGCUCCGGUGAUGCCGUACUCGUAGUAGAGCUGCGGGGGAUCGGAGUCGACGUAGGCGCGGAAACCGUCGCGGAAGACGGCGAGGUAGAGUCUGUUUUCGGUGAAAUUCGUGGCGGAGACGUUGGCAGUGAGGCGCAUCCCUUCGGAAAGUGACUGGCCGAUGACGAGCGUGUCGGUGGGGUGGUCGAAGGACUGCCAGACAGGGCCGUUGGCGCGAUCGAAGAGCAGCAAGUUUCCGGCUUCCGUGAGGUUAAGACCUGUAACGCGUUCGUUCGACGUGUUCGUGGACCAUACGAGGGAGUUGUCGACGUCGCGGAGAAUCAAGUCGCCGGCUUGGGUGAGCUGGAGCGUGGCGUUCUCGCGGACGGGGCGGGCGCGGUUGGCGGACCAGACGACCUGCGGGGCAGCAUUGGGGGGGUUGCUGAGGAAGCCGCCGCUGUCGGUGUCGACGAUGAAUACGGAGAAGAGGAAGGCGUCGCAAGGGGCGACGCAGAAGAAGCCGCAGGCGAAGGAUGGGCUGUAUCCGGAGGGUUCCAUGCGGAGAAGGAUGGUGCGGACGGAGGAGCCGUCGGCGUAGGUGAAGUAGUCGCGGAGGGCGGAGGGGUUGUUGGUCCACACGGUGGAGAGGUUGGCGGUCGGAUAGUCGUAGGGAUUGGCGUGUGCGCGGAGAAAGCUGAGGAGAAAGCAGGAGGCAAUCUCGAGGAGGAAGAGGCAACGGCGCCGGAGAAGCCACAUGGUGGUGGUGGUGGUGGUGGUGGAUUAGUGGGUGGGGUGGAAAAUUCAAGAUCCAUGAGCCGAUCUAUACAUUGCUUUAUUAGAAUAUUCACACUAGCUAGAAUGGUCAUUGCCUGCUCUCGGUGCAUUCACGCGCACAUAUCUGGUAUCAAUCUUCUGCUCUACACCAGCUACUUGUUUCAUCGUAUACUUUAGAAAAAAAAUUCAAUGAUUUUACACUUACUAACUUUAUUAUCUUGUGGUUUAAAAGUGUAUCAAUUUAGUACUCUGUGAUUUCAAUUUUAUUUUUUAUCAUCGAUUCUACUAAUUUUUUUUAUUAAAUCAGUGGCAGAGUUAAAACUAAAUGAUACUGAAGUAAAUAUUCGAUAAAUUUAGGUAGGUAUCUGAAGUUUUUUUGUAUAUAAUUUAAUAAAAUAUUAAUGAAAAAAUGAUGAAAAGAUAAAAAUAAAACUACAAAUACUAAUUUGAUAUACUUUAAAUUAUAGAAUAUUAAAAUAAGAAAAGCGUGACAUGAGUGAUAUUUGAAAAUUACCCUAUAUUUUAAUUUCAUCUAAAAUAUAAAGUAAGAUAAAUAAAAAAUAUGAAAUAAAUAAUGGACCCGAUGUAGGCAUAUAUGUCGUCGGUGGUGUGCUGGAUGNUAAUCCUAUCCUGUAGUUUUUUUUUUUGUGUGAAUUUUAGUAAUAACAAAAAUGAAAUUAAUAAGAUUAGUGAAAAAAAAAUAUGAGUCGGUCAAUAAGAGAGUUAUAGGAUUAGAAACAAAAAGUUGAUUAUAAAAGGAACUGUUUCGUUCCAUUUCUCUUACUUCUCACUGUCUUUUUUGGGAUCGCAAGCGGUGGGCGUAAAUGGUCCGGAGCAGAGAAAUUGUGACCGUACUUUUAGUAAAUUACACUUUUAGUUCUCAAAUUAUGAGAUACUGAUUAUUUUACUAGUAAAAUUUAAUUCAUUAUAAUUUUUAGCUUAAAUUUUUUAAAAUUAUACAGACCGUUCCUAACGUAAAUGACAAAAGAUUUGAUGGUUGAUACCCGGUGUUUAGUUUGAAUACUAAUUGAUUUAUAUUUCUAGCUAAGUUUAUUCUUAAAUGAAAUAAACGAAUCGGAUAGCAUCCUAUCUAUCUCUUAAAAAAAACAAUUCUGAAUUAUUAUAGUGAAGCAGUCUCACAGUUUAAAUUAAUUUAUUUACUAAAUAUCGAUACGUUUUAAGUCUGAUAGUGAUAUUGUAUCUUAAUUACUAUCAAUCAUCAACCAUAACACUAUUACAUACUUAAUUGGACCAUAAGUUUGAUUGCAUUAAAAUAAAAAAAUUUAAGUAAAAAAUAAUAAAUAAAUUAAAGUUUGAGCACUACCAUCUCACACGCUUUGAAAACCAAAAAUGUUGUCUAGUCAAAAAAACCAUUUGCACUGAUCUUGUUUGCUAGUUAUCCCUAGGGAUUGUGGGAUUGAUUGUUGGAUAUGCAGCCCAUAUUCAUCAACUAUCAAUUGGGAAGAUUACAAAAAAAUUUUCAUGGCAAAUUUCAUCACUUUUUCUCAAUAUUGAAUGAGAAAAAUUUUAAAAAUUUCAAAAUUUUUAAAACAUUUUAAGAUAUAAAAUUUCAAAUUAAGCCUAAAUCCUUAGACCCAAAUUUAAAUACAUAAGAAGGCUUAAUCCCCUGGGCUUAUAAAAAAAAAAAAAAAGAAGAUCAAUUCUGUUUCUUCCAUGCGGUUAAGUGAACUAUUUUACAACCACCAACUUUUAUUCAUUUUUUUUAUUGUGAUAUUUAUUUUUUUGAGAGAUAGGUAGCAAUAUACCCACUUCGUUUACUUCAUUUAGAAAUAAAUUUAGCUGAAAAUGUGAAUCAAUUAGGAUUUGAACUUGAGACUUUUAGAUACCAACUACCAAGUUCCUUACCGCUUGCGUUAGAAACGGUUAGUAAAAUAUGAUUUUUAGGAAUAAAUUACAGUUUUGGUCCUCCAAGUAGAUGGUACGUCAUAUUUAAUCUUCAAACCUUAAUUUACCAUACUUUUUUACCUCGAUUUUUUAUAUUGUUAUAAUCAAAUUCCACAAUAUAGUUUAACGUAUAAAUCAUACAAAAGCAAAUUGAGAAACUGGACACAUUAAUUGAAUCAAAACCUCUAUGGUACAAUUAGCUUGGAAAAUACUGCUUGGCCUAUAGAACAAUUUCUUGUGCAUUAAAUGUAAAUGCUAUGGAACCGCAAUUGCAGGCUCACAUAAAUUAUUUUAUUCACCUAGGUUCUGAUAAAACUGAUGCAGGAGGAACAAACAAAGAGCCUGGACGAUCGUCUCCGCUAGACAUUACUGUACUAGUAGCUACAAAAUCGUAUUCAAGACUAGUUUCCACACCGGUCGCUCCUUCCAGAACCUUCACUACUGUAGACAUCGGAGGCCUUCUACUACUAUCGAUCUGCAGGCACCACAUCGCGAGUUUCAUCAUUUCAAUCACUUCUUCUUCGGGCAACUUUAUAUCUUUGUUGGAACAAUCGACUAUAUCCAACAACCGACCGGCUUUAACUUUCUCUUGCAACAAGCUAAUUAGAUGAAUACUCUCUUCAGGCUGAGAAUAAUCCAAGUUCUUUCUCCCACACAAAAUCUCCAUUACGACGAUACCAAAGCUAUAGAUGUCGACCUUUUCUGUGAUCUUCGAAGUCAACCACUCCGGCGCUAGGUACCCCGGCGUGCCUCUCAUUCGAGUCAUUACCUGGCUUUGAUCUCUGUCGAUUAGCUUCGAUAAUCCAAAAUCGGAUACUUUAGCAUUGAGAUUUUGGUCCAAGAGGAUAUUUUGCGGCUUGAUGUCUAAGUGGGCAAUCUUUUGCCUGCACUCUUCGUGAAGAUACGAAAGACCCCUUGCUAUGUCUAAGAUGAUUUUGCGCCGAGUAUGCCAAUCAAGAAGGGAGAUUCGAUCCGCAUUGAAGAUCCAUUUAUCAAGCGAGCCGUUGCACAUGAAUUCGUAAACAAGAAGCCUAUGCGUUUUCUCAGCACAAAAUCCAACCAUCUUUGCUAGGUUAAUGUGGUGAAUGCUACCAAUAGUCUCAACCUCGGCUAAAAAUUCUUUCCUCCCUUGGCCUAUCCCAUCCAAACGCUUCACGGCGAUCUUUUCGUCGCCAAUUUUCCCCUCGAAAACCGACCCAAAUCCUCCCUCUCCGAGCUUCCUAGAGAAGUUCUCGGUAGCCUCUUUCAAUUCCUUGUAUGAAAACCGCCUUGGCAUUCCCGGGACUCGAUCCAAAAGUUCCUCCUCCUCCUCUUCCUCUUUGCUGCAUCUCCUUAGCCCAAGCACAAUUGCAAUGAUAAUUAACACUAUGAAAACUCCAGGUAGCACGAUACCCAGCACAAUUCCUGUUUUAGACUGCUUCUUAGUAAAAUCCGGGCUUUUCGAAGGGGCAGAAGCAGGGGGUGAGAGGACUCUCUGCACCUUAACGUAUGCAGAAGAACUGUAAUGACUUAUCGCCGGUUGAUUCGUCUGCAUCGAGAAGAUCUCCGACGGCAAGUAGCAGCUACCAUGAGUAGUAUUUCCCCCACCGAACUGAAAAAACGCGGCUUUGCACGAACAAUUCUUCAAACAAGCCGUCCUGCAACUCUCUUCGCUGACCAUACUCUGAAACGCGGCCGCAUCGGGGUCGACAUAAUUGAAGUAAGAGACGUUAGUGAGAGGCAACAAUUCAUGAUCAUAUGAAAAUUCACAAGAUAAAGGAGUCAACGGCUCGCAACCGAGAUUAGCUUCCCGGUCGUUGACUUGCUGGAAAUAGUCAGUCGAAGGGCAGCUGCAUUGUCCGCCGCCCGUGCAAAUGCCGUAAUCGCCGCACACCGUCGGAUAAGCGCAGUUGUCGGGGUACACAUCGAGCACGUCCUGCACCACCCUCCACCCGGCGAUGCUGUAGUCGUAGAGCCUCAGGUGCCCGUCGGACUCGAACCUCAUGUACUGAGCCAACUUCGCCGGGGGUAGCGAGAUCGACGCACUGGGCUCGCCUGGUUGUGUGAAGGGAACGAAGACGGACAGGCUACCGUUGGUGAAGGUGACGGACGCCGACUUGUUCACGGCUUUCGCUCCGGUGAUGCCGUACUCGUAGUAGAGCUGCGGGGGAUCGGAGUCGACGUAGGCGCGGAAACCGUCGCGGAAGACGGCGAGGUAGAGUCUACUCUGGGUGAAAUUUACGGCGGAGACGUUGGCGGUGAGGCGCAUCCCUUCGGCAAGCGACUGGCCGAUGACGAGCGUGUCGGUGGGGUGGUCGAAGGACUGCCAGACAGGCGCGUUGGCGCGAUCGAAGAGCAGCAAGU
rnacentral:lncRNA from 1 species